GGGCUAUAAGAUUUGCCCUUUUACCCAGUUUCCUCAUGAGUUGAUUUCCGGAAACCUUCCCUGCUGUUUGGGUUCACCCGGCUGUUAGGGGUCAUAUCCUUCUGACACUGUGAAACAAAGGAAAGCCGAAGUAAAAUCUUAAGCACAGUCAUGGUCAUGUGAUUUUCACUUAGCGACCACUUUGCUUAAUGACCAACUUGCCAAAACCAAUUGCAGUCGCAAAACGAGGCCUACCUGUAUCUGUGCUAUCCUAUAUCUUCCCCAUUCCCAUCCCCCUUACAUUAACUUAGAAACUUAAAGAAUUUCUAAACCAGAAGAGAGUUUUAUGGUGAUUGCAGAACCAAAAGAUAAUAAAGUGAAAGACCUUUACGAUAAGGAAGGCACAUGACAGGAAGAACUAUAGCUUGAUGGCACAUUUCCCCUGAUCAUGAAUGAUGGCAAAGACCUCCGUCUGAAAUCCCAUCAAGAUGGUCUCCACUAUGGCUUGGACUUGGAACCUUCCCCAGGACUUACCUGCAACCAAACUCUAUUGUUAGGCAAGAAGUAAUUCUGACUUCAUGCACAAACUGGAUUCCCCUGCUACAUCCUGCAAUUUGCAAUGUGGUGGGACAAGAAUAACUGCUGCUGAGUACAAGGUUGAAGUGCUCUCCACCCAUCCACCCUUGAGCUAGCAGAAAAUUACACCCAUUUGAAAUGUGCUGUCCUCACUGCUGAUCCCUAUCCUACUUCAAGUCACUGCAGUCACCUGACUUCCCUCCAAGGUAAUGGGUGACAAAACCCUAACAGAUUUGUACAAAAUGCGAGGCUGUCUUUUUAUUCUGCCAGGAUAAUACGUUUUAAUAACAACCUAGCUGAGGACAAUGUUAUAGCUGUUUCAUUGACAUGAGCUGGGGAUGAAAUGAAGGCAAAACUGCAGGGACAAGCAGAAAAAAAUAUAUUAAUGGGGCAUGUUUAUGCUGUGGUUAGAUAUAAGUGGGGAAAGGCCACUUAAGAAGCCUUAAGACUUAGGAAACCAGCUGGUCCAUCAAAUCUAAUAUCAUGUUUCUUAUUAUGGUUAACCAGACAUCACUGGGACAUCUGCAGGCUGGGAAAUAGUAUGCAGAAAUUGAGCAACACUAUCACACAUUGCAGUAGCAAAUUCUAUUAUUUAACUAUUCAUUUGCUAAAAGUAGAGGGGCACAAUUUGGAGUCCAUGGACUAUACUUGGCCUUUGGUUUACAAGCUGAAUGCUGCAUUCCAAAAAGUUGGUAUGAACAGGAUAAAGUUAAUAAGACUUGGACAUCAAUCCUAA